GCUGGGAUAGCUUAGUGGGUAGAGCACAAGACUCUUGAUCUUAGGGUUAUAGGUUUGAGUCCUACGUUGGGCA